rnacentral:rRNA from 1 species
GAUGAACGCUAGCGGGAGGCCUAACACACGCAAGCCGAGCGGUAUUGUUUCUUCGGAGAUGAGAGAGCGGCGUACGGGUGCGGAACACGUGUGCAACCUGCCUUUAUCUGGGGGAUAGCCUUUCGAAAGGAAGAUUAAUACUCCAUAAUAUAUUGAACGGCAUCGUUUAAUAUUGAAAGCUCCGGCGGAUAGAGAUGGGCACGCGCAAGAUUAGCUAGUUGGUGAGGUAACGGCUCACCAAGGCGAUGAUCUUUAGGGGGCCUGAGAGGGUGAUCCCCCACACUGGUACUGAGACACGGACCAGACUCCUACGGGAGGCAGCAGUGAGGAAUAUUGGUCAAUGGGUGCAAGCCUGAACCAGCCAUCCCGCGUGAAGGACGACUGCCCUAUGGGUUGUAAACUUCUUUUGUAUAGGGAUAAACCUACCCUCGUGAGGGUAGCUGAAGGUACUAUACGAAUAAGCACCGGCUAACUCCGUGCCAGCAGCCGCCGUAAAAC